rfam:Pleurotus ostreatus PC15 unplaced genomic scaffold scaffold_03, whole genome shotgun sequence.
GCCCGCCUAGCUCAAUCGGAUAGAGCGUCAGACUCUUACAUUAGGCGGGAUCAUCUGAAGGCUGCGAGUUCGACCCUCGCGGUGGGCU